rnacentral:rRNA from 1 species
CCUACGGGUGGCAGCAGUGGGGAAUAUUGGACAAUGGGCGAAAGCCUGAUCCAGCCAUGCCGCGUGUGUGAAGAAGGCCUUCGGGUUGUAAAGCACUUUCAGUGGGGAAGAAAGCCUUGGGGCUAAUACCCUCGAGGAAGGACAUCACCCACAGAAGAAGCACCGGCUAACUCCGUGCCAGCAGCCGCGGUAAUACGGAGGGUGCGAGCGUUAAUCGGAAUUACUGGGCGCAAAGCGCGCGUAGGCGGUCUGAUAAGCCGGUUGUGAAAGCCCCGGGCUCAACCUGGGAACGGCAUCCGGAACUGUCAGGCUAGAGUGCAGGAGAGGAAGGUAGAAUUCCCGGUGUAGCGGUGAAAUGCGUAGAGAUCGGGAGGAAUACCAGUGGCGAAGGCGGCCUUCUGGACUGACACUGACGCUGAGGUGCGAAAGCGUGGGUAGCAAACAGGAUUAGAUACCCUAGUAGUC